rnacentral:rRNA from 1 species
CCUACGGGUGGCAGCAGUCGAGAAUCAUUCACAAUGGGGGAAACCCUGAUGGUGCGACGCCGCGUGGGGGAAUGAAGGUCUUCGGAUUGUAAACCCCUGUCAUGUGGGAGCAAAUUAAAAAGAUAGUACCACAAGAGGAAGAGACGGCUAACUCUGUGCCAGCAGCCGCGGUACUACAGAGGUCUCAAGCGUUGUUCGGAAUCACUGGGCGUAAAGCGUGCGUAGGCUGUUUCGUAAGUCGUGUGUGAAAGGCGCGGGCUCAACCCGCGGACGGCACAUGAUACUGCGGGACUAGAGUAAUGGAGGGGGAACCGGAAUUCUCGGUGUAGCAGUGAAAUGCGUAGAUAUCGAGAGGAACACUCGUGGCGAAGGCGGGUUCCUGGACAUUAACUGACGCUGAGGCACGAAGGCCAGGGGAGCGAAAGGGAUUAGAUACCCCAGUAGUC